UCGAGAAUCUUCCACAAUGGACGAAAGUCUGAUGGAGCGACGCCGCGUGAUUGAUGAAGUCCUUCGGGACGUAAAGAUCUUUUAUGCGUGAGAAAGUAAUUGAUGUUAGCGCAUGAAUAAGGGGCUCCUAACUCUGUGCCAGCAGGAGCGGUAAUACAGAGGCCCCAAGCAUUAUCCGGAAUCACUGGGCGUAAAGGGUGUGUAGGCGGUCGUAUUAGUCUUUUGUUAAAGUUCCAGGGCUUAACCCAGGAAAUGCAGGAGAAACGGUACGACUUAGAGGACGCGAGAGGUAGAGGGAACUCAUGGUGUAGGGGUGAAAUCCGUUGAUAUCAUGGGGAACACCAAAUGCGAAGGCACUCUACUGGCGCGCUCCUGACGCUGAAACACGAAAGCGUGGGAAUCGAACGGGAUUAGAUACCCCGGUAGUCC
rnacentral:rRNA from 1 species